rnacentral:rRNA from 1 species
ACACUCCUACGGGAGGCAGCAGUGGGGAAUUUUGGACAAUGGGCGAAAGCCUGAUCCAGCAAUGCCGCGUGAGUGAAGAAGGCCUUCGGGUUGUAAAGCUCUUUUGUCAGGGAAGAAACGGUGAAAGCUAAUAUCUUUUGCUAAUGACGGUACCUGAAGAAUAAGCACCGGCUAACUACGUGCCAGCAGCCGCGGUAAUACGUAGGGUGCAAGCGUUAAUCGGAAUUACUGGGCGUAAAGCGUGCGCAGGCGGUUUUGUAAGUCUGAUGUGAAAUCCCCGGGCUCAACCUGGGAAUUGCAUUGGAGACUGCCAGGCUAGAAUCUGGCAGAGGGGGGUAGAAUUCCACGUGUAGCAGUGAAAUGCGUAGAUAUGUGGAGGAACACCGAUGGCGAAGGCAGCCCCCUGGGUCAAGAUUGACGCUCAUGCACGAAAGCGUGGGGAGCAAACAGGAUUAGAAACCCCUGUAGUCCCA